GUUCCAUGAUGAUUCCCCAUGCGUGUCAUCUGACCCCCCCAUUCCCCCCCUCCAGCCCGCGUUCUGCUGGGCAGGGGAAGAAUCCUCCCCUGGGGGUAAGGGAAAGUGAUCAUACCUGGAUAAC
rnacentral:snoRNA from 1 species